rnacentral:rRNA from 1 species
AAUGAACGCUGGCGGCAGGCUUAACACAUGCAAGUCGAGCGCCCCGCAAGGGGAGCGGCAGACGGGUGAGUAACACGUGGGAAUCUACCCAUCCCUACGGAACAACUCCGGGAAACUGGAGCUAAUACCGUAUACGCCCUUCGGGGGAAAGAUUUAUCGGGGAUGGAUGAGCCCGCGUCGGAUUAGCUAGUUGGUGGGGUAAUGGCCUACCAAGGCGACGAUCCGUAGCUGGUCUGAGAGGAUGAUCAGCCACACUGGGACUGAGACACGGCCCAGACUCCUACGGGAGGCAGCAGUGGGGAAUAUUGGACAAUGGGCGCAAGCCUGAUCCAGCCAUGCCGCGUGAGUGAUGAAGGCCCUAGGGUUGUAAAGCUCUUUCACCGAUGAAGAUAAUGACGGUAGUCGGAGAAGAAGCCCCGGCUAACUUCGUGCCAGCAGCCGCAGUAA